GAGGGUAUAGCUCAGUGGUAGAGUGCAUGCCUAGCAUGCAUGAGGUCCUGGGUUCAAUGCCCAGUACCUCCA
rnacentral:tRNA from 1 species